UUGAACUGUCGCGUUACCUUUAUAGCGUGCACACUUACUCGACAAGAGCGUGACACAAGAUAUGCGCUAAUCUCACCUGGGUAAGAUCGUUAUCAGGUCAGGACACCUGAACAGGUAUAUCGUAUGAAGUGAUACAGGUAAACACUUGGUAUCACAAUACGUACCUCUGUAUGUUCAAUCUAAUUAUGCCUGGACAUGCACAACAUGGAGGUUUUAUAUAAGGCUUUAAUGUCCUUGCAAUAUGUCAGCCAUGGUCAUUUGAGGACAAGUGUCAAGGAGACACCUAUAGAGGAAAACAGAGACGAAGAGAUUCAGAGCAGUGAGGAAAGAAAGGAAAGAUUUAAAAUCCCAAAUAAGAGUUACAAUGGGAACAGAAGAUCUGUUUUGGUCGCCUAAUUCUUCUCUUGUGAUUUUGAAACAAA